rnacentral:rRNA from 1 species
GACGAACGCUGGCGGCGUGCUUAACACAUGCAAGUCGAGCGGAAAGGCCCUUCGGGGUACUCGAGCGGCGAACGGGUGAGUAACACGUGAGUAACCUGCCCCAGACUUUGGGAUAACCCUCGGAAACGGGGGCUAAUACCGGAUACGACACAGCUUCGCAUGGGGUCUGUGUGGAAAGUUUUUCGGUUUGGGAUGGGCUCGCGGCCUAUCAGCUUGUUGGUGGGGUGAUGGCCUACCAAGGCGACGACGGGUAGCCGGCCUGAGAGGGCGACCGGCCACACUGGGACUGAGACACGGCCAAGACUCCUACGGGAGGCAGCAGUGGGGAAUAUUGCACAAGGGGCGGAGGCCUGAUGCAGCGACGCCGCGUGGGGGAUGACGGCCUUCGGGUUGUAAACCUCUUUCAGCAGGGACGAAGCGUAAGUGACGGUACCUGCAGAAGAAGCGCCGGCCAACUACGUG